rnacentral:lncRNA from 1 species
AAAUAUUUUCAGAAUAAAUAAAAUAAGGGGUGUAAAAAAUAAAAAUAAAAUGGAAAUAAGUGAGGUGAAAAUAAAUAAAAUAGAAGUGAAAUAAUUAAAAAAGGGACAAAAAUGCACACGUUGGGGGUUGAACCCCUAUCCUUGGGGUCAUGGUGGGAUCAACCCCCUCUCCCACUAGGCCAAGCGGUCAGUUGUGAUAACAAAUGUGCUAAAUAUAAUAAAUAAUAAAC